rnacentral:misc_RNA from 1 species
UAUGUGUAGCAUUCGUGUUACUGUUGGCCGUAAUAAGAGGAAGCAGAAAAUAUGUGAAUGGAGUUUCAAAUUAUCAGUGUUCCAGAGCACUUCGGAUGGAAAGUGGAGGGUCUUGCACUGUGCCUCUGGAUAUAAGAUCGUGAUUUAAGAAUAAAACAAUGACUGUUAUAUCAUCGUGAAAGUGGCGUCGAACCUUCUUGUCAAUCCUACGUAGAUCUGAAUAUCGCAUCUCUCUUUUUCUUGCUGCUUCUUGUAGGGCAGCCUUCACAAGCCUUUUGGCACUUCCUGCAUGUGGAUGACUGUGGACAAUAUCCACAGCUUUUUCAUUACUCAAGUGUUCCCAAAGCCCGUCAGAUGCAAAUAUAAGGAAGGAAUCAUUCGGAUGGAGAGGAUGGGAAAUGAUAGUUGGAUUAGCAUUCAAGAUAGGCAUGUUCAUUGGUUCAGGAAGUCUGAAUUUUCCAUUAAUUGGUUCUCUGUUGUACUGCACGUGUUUCAUAUACACAUCGCCUAUAGAUCUAGAAACCUGAAUAAUCCCCUUUACUCUCCAAACUCCAUGCUUAAGGACAACAAUCUGGGGAUCAUUUGGAUGCAGUUCCUUGAGUUCAUGCCGAAUGGCCUCAUUGUUUGCAUUAUGUUCUGUUGAUAGCUGAAUAGCAGCAAUGUCUCCAGUGCUACCAACUUUCUUCCCCAACACGACUCUAGAAUCUCCCAAGUUUGCCACAAAGAGGGUCUGCUGAAAUAUGACUCCAACUAGACAGCAAGAUCCAGUAGUUGCAAUUUGGGGACAAGUAGUCCAUAACUCAGACACAAGAGUAGUAAAC